AGGGAAUUUUCCACAAUGGACGAAAGUCUGAUGGAGCAACGCCGCGUGAACGAUGAAGGUCUUCGGAUUGUAAAGUUCUGUUGUUAGGGACGAAACUGUACCGUUCGAACAGGGCGGUACCUUGACGGUACCUAAUUAGAAAGCCACGGCUAACUACGUGCCAGCAGCCGCGGUAAUACGUAGGUGGCAAGCGUUGUCCAGAAUUAUUGGGCGUAAAGCGCGCGCAGGCGGCUAUGUAAGUCUGAUGUUAAAGCCCGAGGCUCAACCUCGGUUCGCAUUGGAAACUGUGUAGCUUGAGUGCAGAAGAGGAAAGCGGUAUUCCACGUGUAGCGGUGAAAUGCGUAGAGAUGUGGAGGAACAUCAGUGGCGAAGGCGGCUUUCUGGUCUGUAACUGACGCUGAGGCGCGAAAGCGUGGGGAGCAAAC
rnacentral:rRNA from 1 species